rnacentral:rRNA from 1 species
UACAGAGGGGGCAAGCGUUGUUCGGAAUUACUGGGCGUAAAGCGAGUGUAGGUGGUUGUCCAAGUUGGAUGCGAAAGCCUUGAGCUCAACUCAAGAAAUGCAUUCAGGACUGGGCGGCUAGAGGACCGGAGAGGAUAGUGGAAUUCCCAGUGUAGUGGUGAAAUACGUAGAGAUUGGGAAGAACACCAGUGGCGAAGGCGGCUAUCUGGACGGUUUCUGACACUAAGACUCGAAAGCGUGGGGAGCAAACAGG